CAGCCGCCGCGGUAAUACGUAGGUGGCAAGCGUUGUCCGGAAUUAUUGGGCGUAAAGGGCUCGCAGGCGGUUUCUUAAGUCUGAUGUGAAAGCCCCCGGCUCAACCGGGGAGGGUCAUUGGAAACUGGGAAACUUGAGUGCAGAAGAGGAGAGUGGAAUUCCACGUGUAGCGGUGAAAUGCGUAGAGAUGUGGAGGAACACCAGUGGCGAAGGCGACUCUCUGGUCUGUAACUGACGCUGAGGAGCGAAAGCCAGGGGAGCGAACGGGAUUAGAUACCCCGGUAGUCCUGUCUCUUAUACA
rnacentral:rRNA from 1 species